UGAGUAACACGUGAAUUAUCUACCUCCGAGUGGGGAAUAACUGAGAGAAAUCUUAGCUAAUACCGCAUAACACUUACGAGUCAAAGCAGCAAUGCGCUUGGAGAGGAGUUCGCGGCCGAUUAGUUAGUUGGCGGGGUAAUGGCCCACCAAGACGAUGAUCGGUAUCCGGCCUGAGAGGGCGCACGGACACACUGGAACUGAAACACGGUCCAGACUCCUACGGGAGGCAGCAGUGGGGAAUUUUGCGCAAUGGGGGAAACCCUGACGCAGCAACGCCGCGUGGAAGGAUGAAGCCCCUUGGGGUGUAAAACUCCUUUCGAUCGGGAAGAUUAUGACGGUACCGAUAUAAGAAGCCCCGGCUAACUUCGUGCCAGCAGCCGCGGUAAUACGUAGGGGGGCAAGCGUUGUCCCGGAAUUCAUUGGGCGGUAAAGGAAGCUUCGUUAAGGCGGUUUUGGCAAGUCGGGG
rnacentral:rRNA from 1 species